UGAAGUACCUCUCACCUCUCCCGGCCUCGAGCCAGACAGUAUCUCCUGAAAGCCUGACAGUUAAGCUGCCAGAUUUCUCAAGAGACUUAUCCGGCCGGCUACAGACCCUUUAGACCCAAUAAUAACGGUUACCACUCGAGCCGCCGGUGUUACCGCGGCGGCUGGCACCGGUCUUGCCCGGCCCUUGCUAUGAAAUGCUUUUUAGGCAUCUCGACAGCCAGAUUUGUAACCUGGCACUCGAGGUUCCCUUAUCGCUGUUGCCAGCAUUGUAAAGUUUUCGCGCCUGCUGCACCCCGUAGGGCCUGGAUUCGUGUCUCAGAAUCCAUCUCCGGGCUCUUGCUCUCACAACCCGUACCCGUCGUAGGCUAGUAGGUACGCUACACCCACUACUACCUGAUAGGCCGCAGACCCAUCCUUAGGCGCCGGAGCUUUAAAUCUCGAUGCAUUCCAGCAAUCGAGACCUAUCGGGUAUUAUACCCAGUUUCCCGGGUUUAUACCCAACCUAAGGGCAGGUUGUCCACGUGUUACUGAGCAGUUCGCCAUGUAUUGCUACAUUCGACUCGCAUGGCUUAGUCGAACCUCGAUAGCAGUAACCUCUGGCAGGAUCAACCGGA
rnacentral:rRNA from 1 species